rnacentral:ncRNA from 1 species
GAUUGCAUUCAUUUAACAACCUCUCUGCAAUCGCGGCUG